UAGUCCACGCCGUAAACGAUGUCUACUAGCCGUUGGGAAACUUGAUUUCUUAGUGGCGCAGCUAACGCGAUAAGUAGACCGCCUGGGGAGUACGGCCGCAAGGUUAAAACUCAAAUGAAUUGACGGGGCCCGCACAAGCGGUGGAGCAUGUGGUUUAAUUCGAUGCAACGCGAAGAACCUUACCAAGACUUGACAUCCAGAGAAUUUGCUAGAGAUAGCUUAGUGCCUUCGGGAGCUCUGUGACAGGUGCUGCAUGGCUGUCGUCAGCUCGUGUUGUGAAAUGUUGGGUUAAGUCCCGUAACGAGCGCAACCCUUGUCCUUAGUUGCCAGCGAGUAAUGUCGGGAACUCUAAGGAGACUGCCGGUGACAAACCGGAGGGAAGGUGGGGACGACGUCAAGUCAUCAUGGGCCCUUACGUCUUGGGGCUACACACGUGCUACAAUGGGGGAGUACAGAGGGGCAGCGAAAGCGCGAGCUGGGAGC
rnacentral:rRNA from 1 species